GUAAGUUCACGCCACGCUUUAGAACGGGCGAAACCGCGAAUGGCUCAGGAACCGGACCUAAUCCUCGGGACCGUAAUCCUCCUCGGAGGCGAUGGAUAACUGUGGCAAUUCUAGAGCUAAUACAUGUGACACAGGCCGCGAUCGGCCGUCGCGCCGUGGUCGCCUCGCCUCGCGCGCUGGCACCCGCGGCGGCCGUCUUGGGUCGCGGCGCUACAUAUUAGACUGAGACCGAUGCGCGAUUCCCGCUCUCCCUUCGCGGUCUCCGGUUUCGGCCGGUCUCUGCGUCGGGGCCAAAGGGCGGCGCGCUCCGCUUUGGUGACUCUGGAUAACUCACUGGUCGAUCGCACGGGCUUCCACGCCCGGCGACGGGUCCCUCGAGGGUCCGCCCUAUCAACUGUCGACGGUCGGUUAAGUGCCUACCGUGGUUACUACGGGUAACGGGGAAUCGGGGUUCGAUUCCGGAGAGGGAGCAUGCGAAACGGCUACCACAUCCAAGGAAGGCAGCAGGCGCGCAAAUUACCCACUUCGGACGGGGAGGUAGUGACGAAAAAUAACGACGCGGGACUCUGUCGAGGCCCCGCGAUCGGAAUGAGUACACUUCAAAUCCGUUAACGAGGACCAACCGGAGGGCAAGUCUGGUGCCANNNNNGCAACCCGGCUUCGUCCGGGCUUUCGGGUCCCUCCUCUGCCUAGCCAUGCGCGCGUGUGCCGUCGGCGAUCUCUCCUCCAAGGGUGCUCUUAACCGAGUGUCCGCGGCGGCCGGUACGUUCACUUUGAAAAAAUUAGAGUGCUCAGAGCGGGCUGUUCAAGCUUGCAUACGAUAAGCAUGGAAUGAUGGAAGAGGGCCUCGUCUACGUCUGUCGGUCUCCGUCUACGGCGAGGCAAUGAUCGAAGGGAGCGGUCGGGGCCACUCGUAUUGCGACGUUAGAGGUGAAAUUCUUGGAUCGUCGCAAGACGAACUGCAGCGAUGGCGUGUGGCAAGCACGUUUUCCUCGAUCAAGAGCGAAAGUCGGAGGUUCGAAGACGAUCAGAUACCGUCGUAGUUCCGACCGUAAACGAUGCCGACCGGCGAUCCGCCGGCGUUCGCUUCCAUGACCCGGCGGGUAGCCUGCGGGAAACCAGAGUUCGGUUCCGGGGGGAGUAUGGUUGCAAAGCUGAAACUUAAAGGAAUUGACGGAAGGGCACCACCAGGAGUGGAGCCUGCGGCUUAAUUUGACUCAACACGGGAAAACUCACCCGGUCCGGACACCGGUAGGAUUGACAGAUCGAUAGCUCUUUCUCGAUUCGGUGGGUGGUGGUGCAUGGCCGUUCUUAGUUGGUGGAGCGAUCCGUCUGGUUGAUUCCGAUAACGAACGAGACUCCGGCCUGCUAACUAGUGCGCCGAUGUGAGUGCGGCGUCCUCGCGGCGUCGUGUGCGGGCUCUCCGUGGGCCGGCUGUCCUUAACCGGCGGUCGCGCCUUCGGGUCCGGGUCGGUUUCUCACGCACUUCUUAGAGGGACGGGUGGCAGAAAGCCACACGAGGCGGAGCGAUAACAGGUCUGUGAUGCUCUGUGAUGCCCUUAGAUGUCCGGGACCGCACGCGCGCUACACUGGAGGUAUCAGCGGGGACUUCGCCCCGGCCCGAGAGGGUCGGGAAACCUCUCAACCACCUCCCGUGAUAGGGAUCGGGGCCUGUAACUAACCCCGUGAACGAGGAAUUCCCGGUAGGCGCGGGUCAACAGCCCGCGUCGAUCACGUCCCUGCCCUUUGUACACACCGCCCGUCGCUACUACCGAUCGAACGGUCCGGUGAGGUCCUCGGAUCUGGCCGACGACGCCGUCGGGUUUUAUCGGCUCCUCGCGGGUCGGUUUGCCUCGGCGUUCGAUGCCUGGAGAAGACGACCGAACCCGAUCGUUUAGAGGCAGUAAAAGUCGUAACA
rnacentral:rRNA from 1 species